rnacentral:rRNA from 1 species
GACGAACGCUGGCGGCGUGCCUAAUACAUGCAAGUCGAACGCAGUGGGGACGGGUGAGGAACACGUGGGUAACCUCCCAUCAGAGGGGAUAACACUUGGAAACCGGUGCAACACCGAUAUUGAUGGCUGGACCCGGGGUGCAUUAGCGAGUUGGUGAGGUAACGGCUCACCAAGGCCACGAUGCCUAGCCGACCUGAGAGGGGGAUCGGCCACACUGGUACUGAGACACGGCCCAGACUCCUACGGGAGGCAGCAGUAGGGAAUAUUCGGCAAUGGACGAAAGUCUGACCGAGCAACGCCGCGUUAGUGAAGAAGGUUUUCGGAUCGUAAAACUCUGUUGUUAGAGAAGCGGUAUCUAACCAGAAAGCCACGGCUAACUACGUGCCAGCAGCCGCGGUAAUUC